rnacentral:rRNA from 1 species
GACCAUGGCUCAGGAUGAACGCUAGCUACAGGCUUAACACAUGCAAGUCGAGGGGCAGCAUUUUAGUUUGCUUGCAAACUAAAGAUGGCGACCGGCGCACGGGUGAGUAACACGUAUCCAACCUGCCGAUAACUCGGGGAUAGCCUUUCGAAAGAAAGAUUAAUAUCCGAUAGUAUAUUAAAACCGACAUGGUUUUACUUAUUAAAGAAAUUUACGGUUUAUUCGAUGGGGAGUGCGUUCCAUUAGUUUUGUUUGGUCGGGGUAACGGGCCCG